rnacentral:lncRNA from 1 species
CCCACCCUGUUGCCAUCCCCAGUGGAAGAGCGGUGUUAGUGGAGGAAGAAAGUCAAGUGGGGGAGAGAGGUGCACUAGUGGAGGAAGAAGAAAAGGCACCGAUGGAAGUGGAGAAAGAAAAUGUGCUAAUGGAGAUGGAAGAAGAAGAUGAAGGAAGAAUAUAAGGUAAAUGAAUCAUUUCACAACUUUAUUGGGUGGAAGAAGCUACCUUAAGAACAUUUGAAAUCCCAAGGUUUAAUAUAUUUUCUUUCCAAAAGAUCAAACGGGUAUUUUUUUUUUUCUCCAUUCUUAAUCGUAUGUCUAGACAAUUUGAGUACAGGAACCUUAUUAUUUGCCUAGGCGAAGGAAAUACCACUUUUUUUUAUUAUUAGUCUUAUUAUACAAAUGGGGUUAUUGGACAGAUUUUGUUGGACAAAUAUUAUCUGUCCUACACCUUUAUUGGACAGAUUUGUCCUGUCAACUAUUUUGUGUUGGUUUCUUGGGUAUGUUUUGCAUUUAACGAUUACCAAGAUUAAUCUAACUUUGAUUACAAUAAUAGCACUCAAAGCACCAAUGAUCAUGAAUCAAAGUUCUUUCCCUUGGCUAUCUGUUAUUGUGUUUUUUCAACCAUACAUAUUUGUGUUUCAAAACGUUAAUAAAUACUAAAGUUAUAUGCAUGUACCUUGUUAAACAGUCCAGCAAAAUAUCAAAGUAAAAUUCCUUUGCUGUUUAUGAUGAUACUAUAGUCUGAAUAGAUUUGGCAUUCAAAUAUUUAAUUUGAUAGAAUAGGGCUUGAAGGAUCAAAUCUGUGGCCUUGAUCCCCUUUAUAAUGGCACAAAAUAGGAUGCAAGCCAUUAUAAUGCAUGUUCCCUUACAUUCAAAACGAAAUGAAUGCAUUAAACUAUCAACUACACAGAAAGCAAGCAAGUAACUAACCUAAGCUUGGAAGGUGAAGUUGCAUUACCUUAGUUGACUUGUGGUGAAGGGAAAAAACGUUUUGCCAGCCAUUGGAAGGGUCUCAACAGUUGAGCUCUUUUCUUGCGCCAGAACCAAAUGGCAGCAUUGUAUUGUUCAUUGCGAACUAUUCGUGUGGCUUCCUUCCAAUCAUACUUCUCCAUCUCUUCACGUGCAGCUUUUGCCAUGGUUUCCCUCAACACGUUGUUGUGCAAAAGUGGCCUUAGUUUACUCAAGCAAUCUUCAAGAUCUCCAGGAUUAUACAAAUAGCUAGUUUUUCCAUCUUGAUCUGCAGGGAUUAUAUCAGGAAUACCUCCAGCACGUGCUGCCACCACAGGUAUCCCUGAAGACAUGGCCUCCAAAACCACAAAACCAAGUGUCUCUGACUCUGAAGGCAUGACAAACACAUCUCCACUAGCAUAUGCUUGGGACAGUUCUUCCCCUCUUAGCGUUCCAGUGAACACUGCAGGCAUACCUUUAAACAUUUUCUCUAGCUCCUCCCUGGUAGUUAACUCAUAUUACUAGAACUUGCCAAAGUCUUUAUUUAUGUUUAACAUUGCUUUAUCUAUGGAGUUAGAGGAGUAUAAUAUAUAUAAUAGAAGCACGACAUGUGGACUAAAGGCACCAGAAAGCACCAGACGGUUUUUUUUAAAAGAAGGGGUGUCAUUGUCAGAACUAGUCACCUGUAUGGUCCAUCACCAAUGAAAGCGAUUCGGGCUUCAGGAAGCCUAUCCAUGAGCCUGCCAAAAGCAAUGAGUGCCCUUUUAGCUCUGGUAAAUCAAUAACCAACAAUGAGCAGUUUUUGCUGCCCUUCCAGUUUUAUAUUCUGAAUUUUUAAGAUUGACUGGAAAUCUUGAAUGCAAAUACUUAUCUAAGCUAUGAAAACCUCAUAAUGAUGUUCACUACCUUUUGAGAAAAUCUAAACUCUUCUCUACUCCAAGCCGUCCAACAUGAACUAUCAAGGGUUUCUCAGGUUCACCAUCGCUGUAUGAUAAUGUUUAAGGAUAAGAUGAAAUGCCAUCAUUACCAAAACCUGAACACAAGUAAAAAGAAAAAAGGAUAGUCCAAACCUUAGUCUUAAUCGCAUUUCAUAUGAGCAGUAUCGGGGAUGGAAUUUUUCAGAAUCAACACCCUUGUUCCAAAGACGAAUCUUGUUAGCUGGAUUCCAAGAAGGGAACAACUCCGUCAAAAUUUUGCAGCAUAAUGGUAAACAUGACAAGAAAGAAUAUUUUCAGAUGCUAUUACCAACUAAGAACAGUUAAAAGACUAGAUGAGAAGAUUUUAUGUUCACCUGCUGUGACUCUCGCUGCUAGGAGAUCCCCUGCUAUGGCAGCAGAUGGAACCAGAGUCAGAUCAGCUGCUCUGUGAAGAAAUUCUACAUCAACAAAAAAGAUUAAUGUUAUAUAUUUACCAAUAUUUGAGUCCGAAUUAAGAAGAAUAAAAAAGAAAGUAUGCAUACUUAUGAUCAACCACAUGGGUUUUACCAACCAGCUAAAGGUAUAUCUUGGAAUAUACCUGAAAACUAAACAAGAUCAGCCAUAAGUAAUACAUGAUUUAAGAAAUUCUGGCAUCGUAGGAUCAUAUCAUAUCAGAAUUAAUAUAAGCGGAAGUGACAUGUGAUAAGUGUAAUAACUUGUUUUAUCAUGCACUGAACCUCUUUAUGUGUAUUCAUGCUAUGAACUCUUCGCAUUUUGGUAUUAAAAGUCAUAUUUAAACAUUUUCUUUGUUAUAGAAGUGAUUGUUACUGCGUGUUUUAUAGAGAAAUGGAAGCUUGAAACCAUGGAAUAUUGUAGUCAACUCUGGCCCCUCUCCAAACGAACAAAAGCCUCGCCCAACAAGAGUGUAGACAUGUUCGCUGGGCUAAUCCAACUUUCUGCAUUGAUACCAAAGUAGACUCUUGCCCAGCAAAAGUCUACCUUUUGGAAGUGAACUAAAAAGUGAAAACUUAACGUGUUGCAAUAUACUUUUGGAGGGAGAACACAAAAAACACCUUAGGGAGCUGCUGCACGAGAGAAAAUGCCUAGCAGGGACUUCCAAAGCUCAUCAUUCUCUUUGCCAAUUUUUUGUACACAUAAUGGCUUAGAGUAGCCAACUCCCCCCCUUUCAUUAAGGUUGUAUGUGAUGAAUCUCUUCUAUGUAU